CUCGCGGCCCUCGGGAGGGACAGUGGAAGGAAGGUGCCGAGGCGGGUGAGGAGAGCAUCCCGGGCUUUCUGGCGCACGGGGGGUGAUUCGAUGCUUGGGGCCCUCACGCUCCCACGGGGUCUUUAAUGUGAGCGGGCAGGCGGGGACGGGGGGCACGACGCCCGGUGCUCGCCCUGGUCCUGCCCACCCCGCGCCCUGUGCUCACUCACGCAUGACAGCGACGGCGGGAGUGCGGAGGUGUGCGGGCCGCGUGCUUGCGUUCAGUGAUUCGCUCUUAGGACAGCAAACGCACACAGAGGCAGGAACGGCUUCAUCCCGGUUCGCAGAAGAGGAAACCGAGGCACAGGAAGAUGCACGACUUUCCCAAACCCACAGAGAUGAAAGUGGUGAGGUCAGUCCAGGCCCUGCUCUCAACACCUCCCCUUCCCUUCUGGAAGGUUCUGCAAUCAAUGUUGAGGCCUGCCCACUCCGGGGAGUAUAUGGGUCAACACCGAGUGGACCUUGAAUUCACUUUUGCUGCGACGGGAUGCGUGUGUCGUCCCCAAGGCUGGCCCCGCGGAGGAGACAGCUUUCCUGCGGGAGGAAGAGCCCCAGGCCCUGUCAGCGGCUGCUCUGGGCCCUCGCCCACCAACACUGGAUGGCGUUGCCCGGGCGUGGCCCUCGCUGUGGCUCCUGAGCCAUUCCCACCUGGGGGCCCCUCACCCGGCCAGCAUGCACCGCUGCUCGGAGGAAAAGAGCAUCCUGGUCGAGGGCGGGAGCGUGCACACUGAGGAGCUGCGGACCCCACGGGACGGAGCGCCUCUCACGAUGCUGUGUCUCCCUGAGGCAGCAGGUGUCUGCACGCCUGCCUCCCUUGCUGUCCAGAUGGUCAGUCCUCCAGCGCGGGGGUCACCAACCGGCACCUUGGAGUCCCGUGUCCGGAACGUGGCUGCGGUGGGUGCUCAGAUUCGCUGAAGACACAGAGCAGAGAGCGCCGGGGCCUGGAAAGGGCUCCACCGGUUUCCAGUGUUGGCGAGGUUUCUCCUUUGGGACAGCCCUGUUUGGUGCUGCUCUGGGUUUUGGAUGGAGGGUGGGGUACUGACUACGGGCUCCUUCCCUCCCUCCCCCGCCCCCCUCCCGCCCUUUCCCAGCCGCCAGGCCCACUUAGCGCUGGCAAGCCAGAGCGGCCGGAACGGGGCCCACACCCUGUCCCCAGGAGACAUGACGCCCACCCUGGGUUCUGUGUCUGUGGCCUCGAUUACCCAACGCCAGCGGGUGCAGAAAAUGCACCUGCGUGCCCAUGAGGUCUUUGGGUUAGAGUGGCUGGGGCAGGGGGCUUGCAUCUGUGCCCGCCUGGGCCUCAGCUGGGAGCCCCCAGGGCUGUGCCCGGGACGGCAGAGGGCUGUGCCCGGGGCUGGGCUUCCACCCGGCAGGGGCGCUGAGGCUGGCUCGCCCGACUCCUGCUUUUCCAGAUCUGUGAGCUGCUUGGUGUCAGAGUGAAAUCGGGAUCCCCCCAUCUGAGAGUUGGUUGUGAGCACUGACCAGCACCCCAUUCCGUGGGGCUGCUGCGUCCUGGCUUUGGGCCUUGGGCAGGAGGCUUUGCUUUUCUGAGUGUGCUUUGCUCAUCAGCAGAUUCCAGAUGAAGAGCCGCAGUGCAGGCGUGUGGGGGGCCGAGGACGGUGCUGGUGCAGCAUCCUCUGGGCUUGGUGUGUGUGCAUCCAGCAAGCAUCCGCUGGGGGCCCCAAGGCGGCUUCCUCACGGCACCACGCUGGCCUGCAGACGCCGGCCUAAAACCUGGCCCUGCUGAAAAUGAAAACAUACGCUGGAAAAGCUAUUUUCCUAGAGGGUGGAGAAGGCUCCACGAGAUUUUCCACAGACCUACGGAAUCGGUCUUCCAGCCUCUGGAGCUCGCUCCGGGUCACGCCGGAAGCCUGCGGCUCUCAUCGGAGCAGCCCCCGCUCCCUGGGAAUGUGGUUGCGCCGGCUCUGGGCGCGCCGACAUCCGGCGGCCAGGUGGCCCCAGGGCGCUGGGCGUGCGGCAGGGACCAGGGCGGCUCUGUCCUCUGCAGAAGCGUCUCCGCCGGCCCAGGCCAGAGGUCGCCUGCCCACCCACAUCACGUUUCCCAGCUCUCCUGGCCAUGCUGCAGGCCCCGCCUCCCGCCACCUGGACGCACCCGCACCUGCAGGACCAGGCCCACGUCCACGGUGACGCCCCGACGUCACGAGGCUUCGCCGGCUCAGCAUCACCUGUGGGGCACAGGCAUUUGGGUAUCUAAUUGUUAGGGGACAAGGCUAUUUUGGAUGAAAAAAUAUUCCUUAAAGAUCAUCAUCGGCUAGCAGGGACCACAGAAAUGGAGGGACAGUCUGGAGCUACGGUAGUGUGGGUUUGCAGCCGGAAAACAAAGGGUUUGGAUGGACAGGAGGGUGAAAUGCCAGCUUUGUCAUACCUGUCACUUCCUAGAACCAUCAAGGGUCUGAAUGGGCGUGUGUGUCACUGAAUUUAUGGGGAAACCACAUGCCACGUGGGAGGUGAGCAUCGGCA